GUCAUGUCGUUGAACAUUCCGGGAGCAGAGCCUGCAUUGUCACCGGAGUACCUUUACCGGAAUUAAGCUUGUAAAGAUUGACUGCUAGGCACGGCAGGGUUUUUACAGUAAUGUUUAACGAAAACAAGAUGUCCAGAUUGAGGUUAUAAACCAAGGACAGACUUUACCCAAGACAGAAGCCUUUCCUGCAAAUAAGUCCUUCAGCAAUGAUGACCAACCCCAAGGUACCCAGUUACCUGACUUACCUUCAUGGAGGCACCACAAGAACAUGCCAGAGAACAAGCUCCCUCAGGCCCUCCCCCGCAACCAGGCCUCACCGUAAUAGAGAUAAACCAGCCAGCCAGGUGUCCCCAAAUAGAGAUAAACCAACCUGCCGGGUGUCCCCCAAUAGAAAUAAACCAGCCAGACAGGUCCCCCCCAACAGAAAUAAACCAGCCAGCCAGGUGUCCCCAAAUAGAAAUAAACCAGCCAGCUGGGUGUCCCCAUCAGAGGUAAACCAGCCAGCCAGGUGUCCCCAGCAGAGAUAAAACAGCCAGCCUAGUGUCCCCAAUAGAGAUAAACCAGCCAGCCAGGUUCCCCCAAAAGAGAAAAAACAGCCAGCCUGGUGUACCCAUUAGAGAUAAGCAAGCUUGACUGGUGUACCCAGAAGAGAUAAAACAGUCUCGUGUUCUGAAUACAGAUAAACCAGCCAGGCAGGUGACAUCAGUAGAGUUAAACCCACCAGUCAAGUGUCCCCGUCUGAGAUAAACCAACCACCCAAGUGUCUCCAGUAGAGAUGAAACAGCCAGCCAAGUGUCUCCGAUAGAGAUGAAACAGUCAGCCAUGUGUAUUCAAAAUAGAUGAGGCAGCCAGCCAAGUGUCCCCAGUAGAGAUGAAGCAGCCAACCAAGUGUCUAAUAGAGAUGAAGCAGCCAGCUUGUAUAAAAUCUCCCUGGUCCCCAAGCAGACCACCAGACACCCACCCUGCUGAUCGAUAUAAUUGUGGUGGUUAGAACCCAAUUGACUGAUUGA
ensembl:lncRNA